CCUCUUGAAAGCAACAUCUUGCAUCCAGGUAGGUUCUGCGCAGAAACUGCCUCAUAUAACGGUGUAUUAAAACCCAUGCAAACACUGUUCACAUCUACACCACUUUCAAUCAAUAAACCAAGACACAACACACCAGAGUGGCGUGCAGCGAAGUAGAUAGGUGGGCGUGUAUCAAGUGAAUGAAGUGAUACAUUAUUUUCAAUAAGUAACUUUGCACAUUCAUAUUGAUCAUCAUAGCAAGCUGCAGCCAAUGCUGAUCUCUUUGUAUCAAUGUUAACACCUAAUGGGAAAGGUAUGUAAUCAGGAGCCAGUUGUAUGUAC